AUGGCGCAAUUCGCCCCAGCAGCGCUUUCUCCGGCCGUAAGCCUGAGCUCCGAGCCUCCGUCCAGCGCGUUCUCUCCCACGGAAGGUGGAACACAGCGGCUCCUGUUUACGCAUGAUCUGGUCUCCGGAAAACAUCACGGGGCGAUGCGUUUUGGGCUUGUACGGAUGAUUCAUGGAGAGGAGGAUUUUGAAGAUUCGGACUCUGAGAUUGGUGGUGAUGGCGGUGGAGGAGGUGGAGGCGCUCCCGCUAACUCGGAUAACGAGAGUGGUGCUGCGGAAACACGGCCAUGGCCUCUCGGUAGAGGAUUUGUGCGGGUUCAGUGGUAUCCUGAAGGAACGAAACAGGAUGUUCGAGAAACGAAGCUUAAACUUGAAGAUCGAUCUAUUGUGCCUAGAGACUUUGUCCGGCGGAUAAAUUCAAAUGUAAGUUGUUUUAUUACUUGUAUUAAAAGACAAAAAAAUGUGCAGAAUAACACAGGACAAUGGGGAAAAAAAACUCUCCAAAGCUUGUAUUUUACUAGAAAGUCUACUAAUGAAAAGUUGUUAAAAAUGUAGACAGGAGUGUGGCUUAAGAUGUUUUAAAAAAUGCUUUUAAAGACCAUGUGUAUUCUUUAGGAUGACAUUUAUCAUUAAUUUACGGAACCCCGGAAGGGACGUAGUGGGAAGAAAAAAAUUGGCUGGGUGAAAAAAAAAAAAAUGGGUGAAAAAAAAAAUGGGUGGGAGGAAAAUAUAUAUUUCUAAGUUUUUGCGUUCUCUCGCAAAGUUUUUCGUUCCCUCGCAAAAAUGUUUUGCGUUCCCUCGCAAAGUUUUGCGUUAUCUCGCAAAGAUGUUUUGCGUUACUCGCAAAGAUGUUUUGCGUUCUCUCGCAAAACUGUUUCUCCACAAACACUUCCUGUUCACUUCACUCAUGUAAACCCUCCCGUUUUGCCGAAAUUCUCCCGUAUUUUACCAUUCUAUCCCACUUUCUUUACUUUCAUUACUGUGCGUAUGCUACAUCUGAACCAGUGAAUGCAUGUAUAAGCGCUGACUAACGCGCUUCGUACAAUAAACUGAUCCUAGAUCCUACAGACGAGCGGGUGUGUGUUUAAACAGACAAACACACUGAAUAAUAUAAAAACAUCUCCGUCCUGCAUGUUUUAUUUUAAACAACUUAUUUUCUCUUAAAUGAGCACAAACAGUUUCUAAAGUAAUGGACUGCUUUCAUAAUAGAUCUGUGCAUUCUUACAGAGACACCUCUGUUAUCAAAUUAAACAAAACAUGAGAUUCAUUUGCUGCUCACUUGUUUGAUAACAGAAGUGUCCCUUUAAAUGGCGCGUACAGACGCUGAUCUGGGAUCAGUUUAUUGUACGAAGCGCGUCUGUCAGUCAGCGCUUAAACAUGCAUUCACUGGUUCAGAGGUUGCAAAGUGAAAGGCGACGAUCAGCGCACAGUAUUGUAAAUAAAGUGACUUUGCGAGGGAACGCAAAACAUCUUUGCGAGGGAACGCAAAAACUUAAAAAUAUAUAUUUUCCUCCCACCAUUUUUUUUCUUUCACCCAUUUUUUUUUUUUUUUCACCCAGCCAAUUUUUUUCUCCUCCACUACGUCCCUUCCGGGGUUCCGUAUUAAUUGAGGCAGAGUUCAGUAAUUUGUUCUUUGAAUCCUGCAGGAAAAACAGUGUGGAAUUGUGACUAACAUAAACACAGAAUGUGCAGUGAAACUUGUAGGGACCAACUGUGCUCUAUAUCCUGUAAAUAGCAAAGACCUGCAGCACAUCUGGGUGAGUUUCUUUACCUGCUAUAUUGCUAUAUGUAUGUUCUAUAUGAUUUGCUUUUGAUAUGCUUUUGAUUUUCUAAAAGUACAAUAUAAUAAUAAUAAUAUCACACAAUUCCCCAUAAUGGC
rnacentral:lncRNA from 1 species